rnacentral:rRNA from 1 species
UACGGAGGGUGCAAGCGUUAUCCGGAUUCACUGGGUUUAAAGGGCGCGUAGGAGGGCAGGUAAGUCAGUGGUGAAAUCUCUGGGCUUAACCCAGAAAUUGCCAUUGAUACUGUAGGACUUGAGUACAGUUGCCGUUGGCGGAAUAUGACAUGUAGUGGUGAAAUACAUAGAGAUGUCAUAGAACACCGAUUGCGAAGGCAGCUAACGAAACUGUAACUGACACUGAGGCUCGAAAGUGCGGGGAGCAAACAGG